AGAGCGAACGCUGGCGGCAGGCCUAACACAUGCAAGUCGAGCGCCCCGCAAGGGGAGCGGCAGACGGGAGAGUAACACGUGGGAACGUACCCUUCAGUUCGGAACAACCCAGGGAAACUUGGGCUAAUACCGAAUACGUCCGUAAGGAGAAAGAUUUAUCGCUGAAGGAUCGGCCCGCGUCUGAUUAGCUAGUUGGUGAGGUAACGGCUCACCAAGGCUACGAUCAGUAGCUGGUCUGAGAGGAUGAUCAGCCUCACUGGGACUGAGACACGGCCCAGACUCCUACGGGAGGCAGCAGUGGGGAAUAUGGACAAUGGGCGCAAGCCUGAUCCAGCCAUGCCGCGUGGAUGAUGAAGGCCUUAGGGUUGUAAAGUCCUUUCGACGGGGAAGAUAAUGACGGUACCCGUAGAAGAAGCCCCAGCUAACUCGUGCCAGCAGCCGC
rnacentral:rRNA from 1 species